rnacentral:SRP_RNA from 1 species
GCUGGGUGUGGUGGUGGGCACCUGUAAUUCCAGCUACUUGGGAAGCUAAGGCAGGAGAAUCGCUUGAACCCGGGAGGCAGGGAUUGCAGUGAGCUGAGAUCGUGUCACUGCACUCCAGCCUGGGUGAUAGAGCGAGACUCUGUCUCAA